UACAGAGGUCUCAAGCGUUGUUCGGAUUCAUUGGGCGUAAAGGGUGCGUAGGUGGCGCGCUAAGUCAGGUGUGAAAUCUCGGAGCUUAACUCCGAAACUGCAUUUGAUACUGGCGUGCUUGAGGACUGGAGAGGAGACUGGAAUUCACGGUGUAGCAGUGAAAUGCGUAGAUAUCGUGAGGAAGACCAGUGGCGAAGGCGACUCUUUGGUCUGUAACUGACGCUGAGGCGCGAAAGCGUGGGGAGCAAACAGG
rnacentral:rRNA from 1 species